GUUAAGGGGGCACAGCAAUUUCAGAGUUCAGAAUGUACUCUGGGGCAUGUCACACUCAGUCAAUGGACUUUCUGACAGUAUUGCCAAUGCCAAAAGUUCAUAAGUCACAUGUCUGGCUUAAAAAUCUUUAGGUUUUUUUAAGGUGGCAUCUUUUUAUUUGGCUUCUGGUUUUUAACCUGUAGGUCACACUGGAAAUCACAUUUGCAAGUUCUUCUCCUCAACCAUAAGGGCUGCCAGCUUAAUUGUUUCUCUUAAUCCUAGCUGAGAUUCUCAAGUAGUCACUUAUCUCCAGGCACUGGGACUUUAAAUAGAAUAUCAAAUAUUGUGAGACUUGUAAUAAAAUUGUGAGAAUGGGUAAUAACACUGUUUCUGUGACCUAAUAGGGCUUUUUAAUCUCAACUUCUGUGAUUCACUGUGGAGUUACACACCUUUUGGGAGGCUGGCAAACACCCCAAUCUUCAGUUCAGCAUAAUGACACAACAGCCUGAUGCAAGCCCCUUCAUAGUGAAAUGGUAGUGGGGAAUACAGAAGAUUUUGCAGCAUGUUAGGGUUCCUAUCUUCAUACCUGAUCAGUAGGAGACUGGGAGCCGGAGAAGCAACUGGAAAACCACAGAUGCUCCUGUUCACUGUAAGUAAAGCAGAUGAUGAACCAAUAAAAGGCACCCAACGCAAACAGCAAUUCAGCAGAACAGGGAAACAAAGACAACUGAGGAACUGUCUCUGUCCAUAAUAAAGGGAAGAAUCAAGGAGAAAGCAAGUGGCCAGAUGCUUCUUGUAUUUGUUAAAAUAAUGUACGAAAAUUCACAUUUUCUGCUGUGGCUCUCCCUACAAACUCCAGGAUUGCAGAGCAAGAGAGUACUGUGAUUCCUGGCUUGAUGAGCACAAUAGCACCCAGGAGGUGGUGCUCCAGGGCAAGAGAUGGAGGAGAUUGGUGUAGAUGUUUUCAAACUACCUUUAAGAGAGAGGAUUCAAUGCAGGAAAAAUUUCACCAGGCUCGUUCCCUUUCCAGCAGCCACUGGUUGCCGCCAGGACUUUCCCAAAGUACAGCAGCUAGUACAUCUCUCUGGUGACCUCAGAAAAAGAAGACUAGGAAGAGCAGCUCUGACUGAAGACUAUUACUACCGUGAAGCUUUAUUAUAUGUUGUUGUAGCCCUGUUGGUCCCAGGAGAUUAGAGAGACAAGGCGAGUGAGGUAAUGUAUUUUAUUGGACUAACUUCUGCUGGUGAAGGAGACAAACUUGCAAGCAAUACAGAGCUCUUCAAUAUGUAUUUUCCUGCCAAUAAAGUUUAAA